AGAAGAAGAAGAGGAAGAAGAAGAAGAGGAAUCACUAAAAAGCGCAGAAUCAUCAUUCUUUUCCUUUUUCUUUGUAGGAUUUCGUCCCUGCCUCUCUCUUCUCUUCUCCCUCUUUUUCUUUUUUUUCUUCCUC
rnacentral:ribozyme from 11 species